GUUCUUCACGUGUUACUGGCAUUUUUACAUUAGUAAAUGUAUACAUUAGUUACGUAUAAAUCAUUAGCUAACGUUAAAGUCAAAUGAGCAACUUAACUAACUAUAGCUGCACAAACAAGAGACUUUAAAACAAGUCGCUAGCUAACUAUAGCUGGAUAAUACAGAACUCCAGGAUGUUGUGUGAAGUCCUGCUGUCAUCGCUAUGGUUCCUGUUUGUUAUCUUCUGGGUCGAGACAAUAAGUGUUUGGCUGUUUCUGUCCAUGUUCUAUCAGGACCGGGCAUUUUACCACUGGGGAGAUGGGGUAUUUGCAGAUGAUCCUGGAGAGAUGAUAUACAUGUUGAGCAGAGGCGAUACCCAUAUGCAGACAGAGAUGCACACCUGAGAUGGGAAGAGAUCAAGAACUCCACUGAAAGGACUCUCAGUAGAGGGCUGUUGCAGUUAUGUGACUAAAGAACAUAUGAUGAAAAGCAGUAGCUGUUUUCCCUUUGCACUAACGGCCUUGCACACUGUCGUGUACAGUCCUUAUUAACAUAGCUAAUUGUAGGCCCCCUUUUAAUAACAGGUGGCGAAGAGGUGCAGCAUGCAUGUCUGCAUAGAUAUAGAGGGAGGUCAACAGUGAUUGAUGUGUAUCACACCCACCAAUGUAACAUUUACAUUUUCACUUUCAGAUUCUGGGGAAGCAGAAUUAAUGUAUUAGAAAAUGCUUUGUUCACAAAGGAUGAGCACCUUUCUUUUAUUUCUUGAAACUUUAUUUUGAGACCUGCACUGCGAUGGUGUUUUGAACAUCAUGCCGUUCUAUGCAACUACAGUUGUUGCUGUCUGCAACUAUGUUUGUGUUUUAAAUAUCGGAUUGCAAUAAAUGUUGUUAGGCAUAUGAAUGUUACUAACAAUUACCAGAUGUUUUUGGUGUAUACUUGAUUCCACAAUGUUUGACAAUAAGUUAAUUUUGAAUAUGGGAGUGGUGAAGCAAUGUGUUUGGGUUUAGAUAUAAGUCUGAACACAAUAGAUGAAUGAUUGAGAGUUCAUAGUUUGAUCUGAUUGAACGAUUUUGUGUUUUUCACACUAAGAACAUACAGUAGAUGAACUGGCAAUAGGGAUUACGGUAUUUGAGCUUGAAGGUUUAUUAUUAAGCUUUGAAAUACUUCUACUUUGUCCACUUACAGGAAUUUCUCCAGAGCUUUCAGCCUCAUCUUCUGGCCUUUAUCGGCGGAUGGAUUUUCCUCAGUUGUCAUGAUUUUAAAUUGAGACAGAGGUCUCAAUUUAAAAUCAUCUGUUAUUUACCGACUGAACCGUCACCAUUGCAACUGCAAAGGUUCCAUCUGCUCAUGAAGAUCACAAGAUGGGACUGAAAGCCCUGGAAGUGGACUUGUGUUAAGAAUUGUUUGUCGGAAAUGUGUGUGUAUGUGCACGUUUAAUAGUGCGGGGAGUGUACCCCAUAAUAGGAAUCCUCUCUCAAUACAAUAUGUCAAUGUUAUAGCCAGUAAAAAUUAUACUUAAAAAAUAUAACUCUGUGAUCCUUGAGCCUGUGAGAUCAUUGGUCUGCCAUACAUUUUUUUGUGUUACUUCUACUUUCUGUCAAUUAAAGGGUUUACCAAACCA